UAAUACAGAGGGUGCGAGCGUUAAUCGGAAUCACUGGGCGUAAAGGGCGCGUAGGUGGUUAAUUAAGUUGUAUGUGAAAUCCCUGGGCUUAACCUAGGAAUUGCAUAUAAAACUGGUUAUCUAGAGUAUGGGAGAGGGAAGUGGAAUUUCCGGUGUAGCGGUGAAAUGCGUAGAUAUCGGAAGGAACACCAGUGGCGAAGGCGACUUCCUGGCCCAUUACUGACACUGAGGCGCGAAAGCGUGGGGAGCGAACAGGAUUAGAUACCCUGGUAGUCCACGCUGUAAACGAUGAGAACUAGAUGUUAGGGGGCUUAGACCCUUUAGUAUCGCAGCAAACGCGUUAAGUUCUCCGCCUGGGGAGUACGGCCGCAAGGUUA
rnacentral:rRNA from 1 species